rnacentral:rRNA from 1 species
GACGAACCGUGCAAACGUUGUUCGGAAUCACUGGGCUUAAAGGGCGCGUAGGCGGGCUCGCCAGUCAGGGGUGAAAGCCCACGGCUCAACCGUGGAAGUGCCUUUGAUACUGCGAGCCUCGAGGGAGGUAGGGGCGUGCGGAACUUCCGGUGGAGCGGUGAAAUGCGUAGAUAUCGGAAGGAACACCGGUGGCGAAAGCGGCGCGCUGGACCUCUUCUGACGCUGAGGCGCGAAAGCCAGGGGAGCGAACGGG